rnacentral:rRNA from 1 species
UACAGAGGGGGCAAGCGUUGUUCGGAAUUACUGGGCGUAAAGGGCGCGUAGGCGGCCUGUUAAGUCGAACGUGAAAUCCCCGGGCUCAACCCGGGAACUGCGUCCGAUACUGGCAGGCUUGAAUCCGGGAGAGGGAUGUGGAAUUCCCGGAGUAGCGGUAAAAUGCGUAGAUCUCGGGAGGAACACCGAUGGCGAAGGCAGCUUCUUGGCUCAUUCCUGACGUUGAUGCACGAAAGCGUGGGGAGCAAACAGG